UGUAUCUGAAGUCUGACGAGGAUGAGAACUUCCGGGGGCAAGAGGUUCGACUCGAGCGAAGCGAGAGAACGUUGCGUCAGCAACGGCCCGCAGGGCGAGCCACGCAGUGGCGAGUCAUCCUCUAUCACCGACCA
rnacentral:sRNA from 4 species